UAGACACAAAAUCAAACAUAUUACGCCCAAAGUCUGUACACACCCCUUCGUAGCUUUUUGACCUCCAAUGUGUGUGUCCCGUGCGGCGUGGUAGGAGAACACGCAUAGAGACUCACGUUUCCAAGUUUGCUUAAUAGUGGGCCUAUUUUCGAGCCCAUGAAAGAAAAUGAGUCCAUAUUUCAUUAUAUAAGCAGCAUUUUAGGUUAAAGUGUUUUAUAAUUUUUAUGGACAGAGAGGAAGCGGCGGCAGCCUAUGAUGGGGAGAAAUGCGUGUGCAUCUUUACCCACCAGAUCUGUUUGGCCCAAUUAAAGCCUAUGACUUAUAAAAUUGUACAUCACAAGCAUCCCCUCCAUGUCACCCAUUCUUCUCAACUCAACUUUGUAAAUAUUAACAGAGAAGGCCAGAAAAUGAAGAAUCAUUUUGAAGAUGAUGGAGGUGAACUUGAUUAGAGGUAUGUUUCUAUUCUGCUUAAGUGGUUUGUGGGGCAUCCAAAAUGAAGUUAAUGAGCUUACUAGUAUUGAUUGGUUUGGUAUUUAGUACAACUGUCAAAUUGAAUGAAGUUUGUAUAUAUUUACAUUGUUGGUAAAAACUCUCAAAAGUGAUACUGGUUGUUUGACACAUGAUAUUUUGAAAUUUUAUGCUAUUCACUAAUGUUAGGAAAGGAAUGUUAUUUGCA